rnacentral:rRNA from 1 species
AUUGAACGCUGGCGGCAGGAUUAACACAUGCAAGUCGAGCGGGGUGAUGGUGCUUGCACUAUCACUUAGCGGCGGACGGGUGAGUGAUGAUUAGGGAUCUGCCUAUUAGUGGGGGACAACAUCUCGACAGGGAUGCUAAUACCGCAUACGUCCUACGGGAGAAAGCGGGGGAUCACUUGUGACCUUGCGCUAAUAGAUAAGCCUAGGUCGGAUUAGCGAGUUGGUGGGGUAAAGGCCUACCAAGGCGACGAUCUGUAGCGGGUCUGAGAGGAUGAUCCGCUACACUGGGACUGCGACACGGCCCAGACUCCUACGGGAGGCGGCCGUAGGGAAUAUUGGGCAAUGGAUGGAACCCUGAUCGAGCCACGCCGCGUGUGUGCAGACGGCCUUAUGGUUGUAAAGCACUGUAAGCGAGGAGGAGGAUACUAUAGUGAUUACCUCGGGGUAGUGGACGUUACUCGAAGAAUAAGCACCGGCUAACUCCGUGCCAGCCGCCGCAGUAA